rnacentral:rRNA from 1 species
GACGAACGCUGGCGGCGUGCUUAACACAUGCAAGUCGAACGGAAAGGCCCGGCUUUUGUGGGGUGCUCGAGUGGCGAACUGGUGAGUAACACGUGAGUAACCUGCCCUUGCCUUUGGGAUAACUUCAGGAAACUGGGGCUAAUACCGCCUAGGAGCUCUUGCUGCUUGGUGGGGGUUGGAAAGUUUCGGUGGUUGGGGAUGGACUGGCGGCCUAUCAGCUUGUUGGGGGGGUAGUGUCUUACCAAGGCUUUGCCGGGUAGCCGGGCUGCGAGGGGCACCGGCCACAUUGGGAUGGAAAUGCGGCACAGACCACUACGGGACGGAGCAGUGGAGAGGAUAGCACAAGGGGCGGAGGCCUGAUCUAGCAACGCCGCGUGCGGGAUGACGGCCUUGGGGUUGGAAACCGAAGUUGCCUGUGACGAAGCGUGAGUGACGGUAAUGGGUAAAGAAGCACCGGCUAACUACGUG